AACAACCCGUCCACGUUGCUUUCUACAACGCUGUUUCUUUUUGUGCGUGUUCUUUUAUUGUUGUUUUUUUCGGUCAGGAACUCCGGCGCGGUGCUGCCGAGCUGCUGUGACUCCAAACCAGCUAUGGGAAAAUGGAUGCUCCAUACUGCUCAAAAUUUGUCUCUGAAAAGAAAAGGAUACAAGGCAAAGUAGAUAAAAAAAAAAGCACCAGAAAAUCUGGAUCAGGGUUCUGGACAACUUUACAUGUGUACAAAUUGAUGAGCUGAGCAGCAAAGAUCUGAUGUCAACUGUAAAAACAAAUCAAAGGUGUUGGAUCUUAUUGUGCAGACAUGCAUAGAACUUUGAAGCAAGAGACAUUUUCAAGU